UCAAAAUUAGCAUUAUUCAUGAGUAAAUUUUAUUUACAGUGAACCCCCCCCCCCCCCCUUAACUCUAAUGCUCCAAUCAUACGAUUUUUCAACGUUCUUGACAUUUUUUCCCCAUUUUAAUUCACUUUCGUCAAUUUGUGUGCGGAGGUUUAUACUUGCUCAAUUCAUUUGCCUCGGGCUAACCAAACACCUAGUUAUGGUCUAAUUAGGCGCUGCAGCUAUUGGAUUACGAUGGACAAUUGUAUGUUUUAUAAAGUCUCUAUCUAAACCCCUAAUAUCAAGUGAAUGAAGUUAUUCGUUUGUUCACUGUAAUUUCGUUUGUUCUUCAUGCAUUUGCUUUCUCAGCACCUUAAAUUCUAGUAUUCAUCUUUCAUUUACUUCAAAUUUCAAGCUUAGUAAUUUCCUGUCAAAUCAACGCAAACUCAUUUCACAAAAAAACCAGAAAUCAAACUUUUGGUGGAAGGUAUAACACUUCCAUAAUAAAUUCGCAUUUUUGGUGAAAUGGAAAGUAUUGUUAUUUUUUAUUGAUAGAAUAUUUAAAUAUUAAAUCACACAUUUAUCAAUCAGUUUAAGUUUUUAAAAUAGUUAUCAAUAGUCCCACCAUAUCUUGCACUUAUCUAGGAAUAUGAAUUCUCUCUAAGGGAUUUUAACCCUCAGUUUGAUUUUCACAAAAAUUUUGGACAUAGAUUUAGUUUUUAUAAAAACAUGAUUUGGGUUGGCCUGAUCAAACACAAUUCACUAUAAGCCUCGAUGCACAUAACUGUUGUAGUCUCUGACAUGAGCUGCAAAUUGCAUAUUUUAGUAUAGGCAAACCAACGCUGGUUAUUCAAGUGCUUCAGGUGCGUCUCUCCUCCCAGU
rnacentral:lncRNA from 1 species